rnacentral:lncRNA from 1 species
AGACUUUUUGUAGUGGUUGAGCGGUAGGAACACUCACCAAAUCAAGCUUUUGGAUAGGAUUAGAAGAAGCAGUGGCAUCAGCAAUUCUCAUGGUUGCUUCAAACAUCAAGUCAUCUUUACUUUCAACAUAUUUUGCUCCAUCAUUUUCUAUCUUAGUAUUGUGGAUCUCACCUUGGCCUCAAUUAAUUGUAUCCUUGGCACCAACCAAAGACACAUG